rnacentral:rRNA from 1 species
UACGUAGGGAGCAAGCGUUGUCCGGAAUCAUUGGGCGUAAAGAGCGCGUAGGCGGCCCUGUAAGUCCGCUGUGAAAGUCAAGGGCUCAACCCUUGGAUGCCGGUGGAUACUGCAGGGCUAGAGUCCGGAAGAGGCGAGUGGAAUUCCUGGUGUAGCGGUGAAAUGCGCAGAUAUCAGGAGGAACACCUAUAGCGAAGGCAGCUUGCUGGGACGUUACUGACGCUAAGGCGCGAAAGCGUGGGGAGCGAACAGG